ACGGAGGGUGCAAGCGUUAAUCGGAAUUACUGGGCGUAAAGGGUGCGUAGGCGGUUUGGUAAGUCUGAUGUGAAAUCUAUGGGCUCAACUCAUAGUCUGCAUCGGAAACUGCCGGGCUUGAGUAUGGGAGAGGUGAGUGGAAUUCCUGGUGUAGCGGUGAAAUGCGUAGAUAUCAGGAGGAACACCUGUGGCGAAAGCGGCUCACUGGACCAUAACUGACGCUGAUGCGCGAAAGCGUGGGGAGCAAACAGGA
rnacentral:rRNA from 1 species